rnacentral:ncRNA from 1 species
GCUUUCUUCGCGGCGGAGCUCGACCGCCCCUCGCGGUGAUGUGCGCGUUCAUCGACGCGCACAGGGAUGAGCACGGGGUCGAGCCGAUCUGCAGGGUGC